GAUGAACGCUAGCGGCAGGCCUAACACAUGCAAGUCGAGGGGCAGCACGUCUUCGGAUGGUGGCGACCGGCGCACGGGUGCGUAACGCGUAUGCAACCUACCUCUUACAGUGGGAUAGCCCAGAGAAAUUUGGAUUAAUACCGCAUAGUAUACAGAUUCAGUAUUGGGACUGUAUUAAACAUUUAUGGGUAAGAGAUGGGCAUGCGUUCUAUUAGUUAGUUGGAGUGGUAACGGCACCCCAAGACAGCGAUAGAUAGGGGCCCUGAGAGGGGAUCCCCCACACUGGUACUGAGACACGGACCAGACUCCUACGGGAGGCAGCAGUGGGGAAUAUUGGACAAUGGGCGCAAGCCUGAUCCAGCCAUGCCGCGUGAGUGAUGAAGGCCCUAGGGUUGUAAAGCUCUUUUGUGCGGGAAGAUAAUGACGGUACCGCAAGAAUAAGCCCCGGCUAACUUCGUGCCAGCAGCCGCGGUAAUGUGACU
rnacentral:rRNA from 1 species